CCAGGCUCCACCCACAAAUUCCUGGCGGUUCCAUUCAAUUUAACGGCUUGUUUGUAAGGUUUUGGCAUACGUUUUAUGCUAUUUAAAACGAUAAUCAUAAACACCACAUCGAAAAUCAACACCUUUCUCCUGCAAGGUGACGAUGUAGAGCCCCAGCCUCCUGUCGGGGAAGUAACGCGUGAGCUCCUCCACCCCCAGCAGGGCGCCGCUCCCCAGGCCACCUCCCUCCAGGAAGCUCCUGCAAGAGAGCAUUUUCAGCGGUCCCCGCGGUCAAGGUCAGCACGAUGACACGUCGUCUCCUCCUCUCCUGUUGCACGCCAUUGCUAGUUAAACCCCUGCCAGCUGUUAACAAUGGCAUGUUGUGU